GGUUCGAUUAUGGCUCAGAUUGAACGCUGGCGGGAUGCUUACACAUGCAAGUCGGGCAGCGGCACGGACUUCGGUCUGGUGGCGAGUGGCGAACGGGUGAGUAAUGUAUCGGAACGUGCCCUAGUAGCGGGGGAUAACUACGCGAAAGCGUAGCUAAUACCGCAUACGCCCUUCGAGGAAAGCGGGGGGACCUUCGGGCCUCGCACUAUUAGAGCGGCCGAUAUCGGAUUAGCUAGUUGGUGGGAGUAACGG
rnacentral:misc_RNA from 1 species